UGAAAAAUAGAGGGUGGAAUACAUUUUAAAGACAAAAGUUUCGGUUCCAGAAGAUUCAUAUUUCGUACAUAAAUUCACGCGGCUUGUUCUCAGUACAGCGCAAGAGGGUUGGCGUGAUCUAACACUCGUCUAAGGCGCUUCUCGCAGAAUCGCGUGCUCGCGUGCUAUCAAGAUAUCGUAUUACGAAUCCACGUCGGAACAGGCAUCUGCAUUUGCUGAUUGCACACAUCUCUGAUGUAUCUGGAAAUACGUAUGCCCACCUAUACAAACACAUCGUCUAAAUUUUCAUUUCUUCGAGUAACGUUCGAAUAACUAUAUCUAUCGAUCGAUUUUAAAUUUAAGUGUUCUCCUUUCAUACUCAAGGUUACUUUCCAUGGAACGAUAAAAAAAGGAAAAUCAUGGCAGAAAAAUAAUAUAACAAUUUUAAAAGAGAAACACAUUUAUGAGCACGUUAAUUUGUUAAAUCCUAUUAUCGUUUCGCCCGUUUCCUGCACGAUACUUUGUUACAUAAAAAGUAUUGAAGAACAGUGGCCGAUUAGAAUCAGAAAUCGCUGUUACGCCAACCGAUACCGGAAAGGACACAGAGUGAAAGCAGUGUUCCGUGAAAGACAUCCUCCUACUAAAUACCUACAUACGAGUCACCGAAGAAGAAAAGAGAUUUUGCUUUCCGGAAAGAUCAACGUGAUUCUCGAACGAUGAUCGAUGAAAAAUCGAUCAAAAGAAGAUAUCUUCACUUAGAACGUACCUCUGUCUCUCAAAUAAGUCGACUUCUUUGGAAUCGCAUCGUAUUGCUGUUUGCCUGAAAAUGAUGCUGUUGGUGUCAUACUUGUACUAGUAUCAGACACAGAAUCGGAUAUAGUAAGUGCGUGCUCAUUUGUUUUCGUUGUCCGUGAUUCCUCCAUUGGAAAAAUGAUAUCGAGAGAUAUUGAAAGAUCGGAAGAUUCACAAAGAUAUUCAAAUAAGUGAUUACAAUAUUGAAAUUCUUGGGAAUAUUUUGAAAACGUAAAGUGUUAUCUAAGAUUGAUAAAAAGAUAUAGUGAUUAAUGAUUAAAAUGAUCGAUUUAUCAGUUCGUAAUAAACAAUGAUCGAUUUAAAAAUUUGAAAUUUCGAGACGAAAGAGCGUACCAUCGUCCGUUGAAUUCCGUGAUAAAUUUACUUUCGUACGAAAUGAGAUCUUAUUAUCCUCUUUCGAGCGUAAAGAUUCAGCUCUGACACUUCGUGCGUAACGAAUUAAGAAAAGAGAAUUCUUUAACAGGCGAUGAAAAUAAAUUAUAACCGUACAAUCGGAGAACUUUCCUGUUAAGUCUCAUUUAACAUGCCAUCUUCCAUGAGAAAUCGAUUAGUUAUUUUUCACACGAAGUUAAGAUGUCAUUGAAUAAUCACUUCUACGAUUAGCGUCGUGUUUUCACUGAAAAUUUUUACAAUCAAAAAUAGAACGCUAUUAAAAAUACUUAAAUAUUUGUUUAAGCAUUGUUGAAGGUAUACCUUUGCUCGUGCUUUGCGUGUAGCUACUAUAGAACUAACUAUUGAAAUCUAAAUCCAUGUUAUCCAUGGAAGAUCUUAACUUUGAGAUAUAUUUAUUUCCACUUUCGUGACUUUUUAACUUAUUGUUUUCAAUAUCGUUGAAAUUUAUCGAGAAAUUCUCUAGAGAAAAUAAAAUUAAAGAUCACUCUUUUAUUAUUUCCAGACCUAUUAAAAAUGAAUUCAAUCUAUUAUUAAGUAUUAUUCAGUAUAAAAAGCAAGAUAAUUUAAAGCGAAUAAUCGUAAGAUAAAAUGAAUUACCCUACUUUUUGAUAUUCGUUGUUACUUAUUAAUCAGCUUUUCAGAAACCGGUUGAUCUUACUUCGUGUUCCUACGUAUACGACUGGAAGAACUAACGAAUAUGCAAGGUAGACCUAGGUGCUCGUGUUCCACUCUUAAUGUCUACGUACAUACAUAUAACAUACACGUAUAUCUGCAUUGACCUAUGUUAACUGACAGCCUGGCGCCGGCAGUUUGGAUAGCGAUAAUAAUUCUAACCAACCUUCGCGAUUCGAGUUCAUCCCCUUUUACUCACUUCCCACGUAAAUGGCGCCUUCAAUGUUAUCCUACCACCUUUACAUACGCAAGCAUCCUCAUUAUCACGCGUUCCUGAACUUAGUUCGUUCUUCUUAUUCGACUAAUUGCUUAUAGUUUUGCGCAUCGACAAUUGUUAACGGGAAACAUUCCUCAGAAUAGAAUUUCAUAAAAUUAACUGUAAAAUAAAAUGAAAUAAAAUAUAAAAAGAAAGGUAAUAGAUUUUAAUGAUUGAACACAACUUACAAAUUAUAAUUUAUAAUCGAGUACUAAUACGAAGCUUAUAUAAAUUAAUUAAUAGUUAAAUAGCAUUUGGUUAAAUAAUAUUGAAAAGUAUUUGCCUUCUUUAUCUUUAAUAAAUCUAUAAAUAUCGAACUUUUUUCAAUCUCUCCCACAUGUUCAAAUUUUAAGAUGCCGAAUAUGCAACUGGUUUUUCGAACUUAUUUCGUUUUGAAUAUUACGACUCUGAUUGGUCGAUAGAUAAAGCGCGAAAGUUCCCACGAAUACAAACGCCCGUGAGUAAUCGUCUCGAUCGAACUUUAAUAAUUAAUUUGAAACUAGAUCUAAAACGAGAAUGAAUCAGAGAAUCUUAUCAUACAAAUAAAACGAAUCUACCCUUUUACAAAUUAUACGAAGUAUACGAAUCAGGAAUCUAAAUGGAAAAUACUGAUUUGUGUAUAUUGAAAUUGAUUUUGUUAUUAUAUAUAGAUAGUACACAAAGUUUCUCACGUAUCCAUAAUUACCAAUUUCCUCACUGCCGUUCGUGAAAAUAAGAUUACGUAAUUUAACUAAGUUCAAGUUCGAGUUUGAAAUAGAUUGCACGUGCAACCUUUUAAAGUUCAAAAUGUUCCAUGUCACAAUGAAUCUGCGAAAUUGAUUUUUUAUAUUUUUUUUCUAAAAUUUAUCCAAAAUCAACUUUUAUACAAAACAACAUAGAAUUAAUAAAUAUGUACUUCACAUCAUGAAAUAACCUUAGAAACUAAAAUAUUCUAAAAUGAAGUAAUUAUAAGUAUCGUGUAUGCACUUACGUGACUUGCUAUAAUAAUCAUAAAUUUCAAGUUAUCUAUACAUUUAUGAAAAACAUUUCUUAGAUAAGUAUUGGUAAAACUAUAUUAUGUAAAUAAAUUCAAGAUAGUUGAAAAUUACACUAUAUCAGUUUACAUUGUUGUAAAUUUUAAAUAAAAGAAGUUAGAAUAAUUAGUUGUAUAAAAAGAAAAAUGUAUUGGAUUGCGUCAGGUUUGUAUUGGCAAUUAAAUGAUUGCGGAUUUUGUCGUUUCCUUCUUCUUUGAAAUCUGGCAAUCACUUAGUUGCCAAUCCAAUAUUAUAUUUUAUUAUUUUUGCCAUUGAAUAUAAUAUACUGGACAAUAUACUUCAUGGUCAUUUCUAAUUAUUUUCUAAUUAUAUUUUAAUAUUUCUAUAAACAAAAUUAUAAAAUACGUAUGCAUGAAUAAAAAA